GUGGGUCUAAGGAGAGUAGUGUAUACGCAGACCUUACCACUAUCCCGAAAAGGCAAAGAGACUAUUUUCAAGAGACUCUCGGCUCAACAGAAAAGGCAGUAAUAUCAGAAAAGAAAUAAGAGAAAAUACAUGCAACAAUAAAAGAUACCAGAAAAAAAAUAACCCCAACAAAUAAGUAAAAAGACAAUAAGACCGCUAACAAACCUAACGAACCUCUAACAGACUCCUCAGUACCAAGAGGGAAGAACUUUCGGUUAUUCCUUAGCCUACUAUCCAAAUGCUCGAUCUCCAUAUGUUCAUAUCAAGAGUUAUGUCCUCGGAAAACUGAAAUCAUGACAUGUACUGCCUGAUCACCUCGCUCCAAUACUUCCUAGGCCACCCUCUGCCUCUUCUCGUACCUGCCAAAGUCAACCGCUUACACCUCCUAACCGGUGCAUCUAGGCUUCUCCUCCACACGUGACCGAACCAUCUAACCUGCGUUUCCAGCAUCUUAUUGUCCACGGGAGUUACGCCCACCCUCUCCCGAAUAUCUUCAUUUCGAAUCUUAUUCAACCUAGUGUGC
rnacentral:lncRNA from 1 species